GCCUAAGGAAGAACUCGCGUCUGAUUAGCUAGUUGGUGGGGUAAAGGCUUACCAAGGCGACGAUCAGUAGCUGUUCUGAGAGGAAGAUCAGCCACACUGGGACUGAGACACGGCCCAGACUCCUACGGGAGGCAGCAGUGGGGAAUUUUCCGCAAUGGGGGCAAGCCUGACGGAGCAACGCCGCGUGAGGGAGGAAUGUUUGUGGAUUGUAAACCUCUUUUCUCUGGGAAGAAGAUCUGACGGUCCCAUAAGAAUAAGCAUGGGCUAACUCCGUGCCAGCACCCGGGGUAAUAGGGAGGAUGCAAGCUUUAUCCGGAAUUUUGGGGCGUAAAGCGUCCGUGGGGGGUUAAUUAAUUCAUUUGUAAAAGACUGCAGCUCAUCUGUGGGAGAGCAACUGAAACUGGUUGACUAGAGUAUGGUGGGGGUAGAGGGAAUUCCUAGUGUAGCGGUAAAAUGCUUAUAUUUUAGGAAGAACACCAGUGGCGAAGGCGCUCUGCUGGGCCAUAACUGACCCUGAUGGACAAAAG
rnacentral:rRNA from 1 species